rnacentral:lncRNA from 1 species
UUUUUUUUUUCUUUUUUUUUUUGAAUUCUACUUUAGAUCUGCAAGCUUGUGCACUGUGGGUGCGUGACUAUUUUAGUGUGAACCGUGUUUUUUGUCAUAGUAUUGAAAUAAUAAAAGCUUCAACAUAGUUUGGAUGUGGAAGGUGUAGCGCUAGUUCAGAUUUGAGAAACAAAAAUAAAAAUAUUCAGGAAUUGAAAUAAUUUGAAAGCAAACAGAAAGAGAACAACUCUUAGGAAGAGCAGGAGCUGUUAAAUGAGAGAAGCAGGCCGAGGUGGCUCAGAAGGAGGAGGGCUCUGGGGGCUGUGUCCUUGUGUUCCUUGGGAAUGUUCGCUCUGUUCCAGUGGCAUCCCACCAUUUCCAGCUGUGAGAAAUGCUCUUGCCAUUUGCUGGCUGUGGGGUUUUCUGCGUUUUGUCUCGCUCAGCUCCUGGGGUGCACGGGGAGGGUGUUGGGGCAGGAUUUUGGGCAGGAUGGGGCACCUUGGUCCCGAGGAUUCCUCUCUUUUCCCCCAGGAAAUGAAUCCAUGAAGGCAGCUGGGCAGCACUGGUGCCUCCGUCCCACAGUUUGUCCCUUUUUGUGCCGAAUCCUGGCUGGCUUUGUCAUCUGUGUGCUGUAACCCCCAAAGCUGGUAGGAAACACCACCGACCCCAAAAACUGCCCAGGGACCCCCAGCAGCACCUGCCAGGUGGGCUUGGGGGAGCUGCCCCACCUGGAUUGGCGUUUUUGUCCCAAAAGGGGACGAGCUCAGAGCCCAGCCCAGCGCCCGGUGACAGCCUGGGGGUGGCACUGCCUGGGCUUGAAGGUCCCUUCUAGCCCAAAGCUCUGCUUUUUGGGGGGUAGAAGCUCUGCUUUGGGGUGGGUGGAUGAAGUUCCUUUCCUCCCCACACCUGGGCCGGGCUUCCAUCGCCCCCAACAGCCAAGGAUUUCAGAUUCCAUCUCCACCUGCCCCCAUCCCAGCCAGCUGCAGCCUCAGGGCUGGGAUCUGUCCCCUCGGGGGGACCACCUGAGCGUGGUGGCACUGCCGUGGCUGCUCUGGGGGUUGGUGGCACUGCCGUGGCUGCUCUGGGGUCAGUGGCACUGCUGUGGCACCAUGUGCCCAUCCCUGGGUUGGUGGCACUGCCAUGGCUCUGUGUGCCCAUCCCUGGGUUGGUGGCACUGCUGUCCAUCCCCAGGGUCGGUGGCACUGCCGUGGCUGCUCUGGGGUUGGUGGCACUGCCAUGGCUCCAUGUGUCCAUCCCCAGGGUUGGUGGCACUGCUGUCCAUCCCCAGGGUUGGUGGCACUGCCAUGGCUCUGUGUGUCUAUCCCAGGGUUGGUGGCACUGCCAUGGCUCUGUGUGUCCAUCCCUGGGGUUGGUGGCACUGCCAUGGCUCUGUGUGCCCAUCCCUGGGUUGGUGGCACUGCCAUGGCUCUGUGUGUCCAUCCCCGGGGCUGGUGGCACUGCCAUGGCUCCGUGUGUCCAUCCCCGGGGUUGGUGGCACUGAUGUCUAUCCCUAGGGUUGGUGGCACUGCCAUGGCUCCGUGUGCCCAUCCCUGGGCUGGUGGCACUGCUGUCCAUCCCUGGAGCUGGUGGCACUGCUGUCCAUCCCCAGGGGUUGGUGGCACUGCUGUCCAUCCCCAGGGCUGCUGGCACUGCCGUGGCUGCUCUGGGGUUGGUGGCACUGCCGUGGCUGCCCCUGCCCGUCCCCAGUGCCACAGGAGCGCUGCCAUCUCGUGCUGCUCCAUCCGUACCGGUGACAAUCGUGCCCGUCAGCUUCCCGAGUGGCGUCGUCUUUCCACACUUUUCUGUGGAGCCUUCCAGCCCCACGUCUUUCCCACCAGGCUGUUUUGGUAGUUGUUCUCAGCCCCUCCAUGGCCAUCCUUCCCCAGCAUUCCCUACUUUUGGGGGCCUUCUAUCUUGUUAAAAAAAGAAAAAAACAAAAAAUCUUUUUACCGAGUGAAACAUCGACUCCACCUUUAUCCCCAUUCUCACUGGUGUAAAUACUGAUACUAACUGAGGAUUUUGACUUUGCAUUCUGUCAGAAUACUGUGUUCAAAUAAAAACUACAAAAAAAAAAAAAAA